UUUUUUUUUUAAAUAUUAUACAGGGUGUAGCCAGAACGCUAGCACAAACGAAGACAGGUGAUAGUACUAAACAUUACUGAUAUAAGAUACCUCCCAUAAAAUAAACUACGAAAAAGAAAUUUUGAAAUAGCCUUUAUUUUUAAAAGUUUACAAUAUAUUGCAAAUAAAACAUCUGACUAACGCUAGAGGUCAACGAACGUUCCGUAAAUAGGUCACUCGAAGUCAAUGCCGCGUCGUAGGUGGGGCAUUUACCCAAGUUUUGCACGACAAGAUAAGGCAAAUGG